GGUCAGGACGAACGCUGGCGGCGUGCCUAACACAUGCAAGUCGAGCGAGAUGAACCCUCGGGGUGAUUCUAGCGGCGACGGGUGAGUAACACGUGGGUAACCUGCCUCAAAGAGGGGGAUAGCCUCCCGAAAGGGAGAUUAAUACCGCAUAACAUUAGUUUCUUCGCAUGAAGAGAUAAUCCAAAGGAGUAAUCCGCUUUUGAGAUGGACCCGCGGCGCAUUUAGGCUAGUUGGUGAGGUAAUGGCUCACCAAGGCGACGAUGCGUAGCCGACCUGAGAGGGUGAUCGGCCACAUUGGAACUGAGAUACGGUCCAGACUCCUACGGGAGGCAGCAGUGGGGAAUAUUGCGCAAUGGGGGAAACCCUGACGGCCAGCAACGCCGCGUGGGUGAAGAAGGCCUUCGGGUUGUAAAGCUCUGUCUUCUGGGACGAUAAUGACGGUACCAGAGGAGGAAGCCACGGCUAACUACGUGCCAGCAGCGGC
rnacentral:rRNA from 1 species